CGUCUACAUUGCAAGUGUUGUCUGCAUCUAGGCCUGUUAGGUUACAGUCGUCUGUUAUGUCAUUACGCAGAAAAUUUUAAUGGCUCGAGAUUAAGUGAAUCAUUUUCACACUAAUGCUACUCUUUCCUCGUGGCAGAGAGCCCUUGCAGGGAAUGCAAACGCUCAUUUACGCUAGUGAAGCGAUAAAUAGCGACAUGUUUAGCGCGAUUAUUGGACAAAAAGUGAUUCGUUUACAUCGAUUCGCAGAGUGCGUGGGAUUUGUAUGAUCUUUAUUUUUAAGACGCAGACGUCUGCUAACGGAGCCAGUUCAUUUAAUGAAUACGAGCCGUCGCGGCAGCUCUAAACGUUCACAUUAAUUUUUGUUUCAUUUUACCCAGCAGAGGAGCCACGAUGGGAGGGCCGCAUGGGUGGCGAAGUACGGGCCACCAAUCGACUGCUGUGCACAACCGGGAGCAGAGCUUCCUCGGAGGAGAUGCUGCCGGUGGACGGACUCUGCGACCUGAUGUUCUACACGGAUGUCGUGUGGCAGGACGGAGCGCUGCGCGGCGCCCAGAACAAGGAGAGCUGGGAAGCCUUCCAGGCUGCUGCUGAAAUAGCCACGUUCCGUUCGCCUAGCGGUGGUUAGCGGCAGCCUCGUUCCGAAGAGCCAAUGACCUUUUCGGGAGCUUCAUUACGUAUCUGGGUCGGCAGAAGCUACGCGAGCUGUUUUUCAAGAACGACGUCCAUUACGGCAUAUUGAAAGCAACGGGAAUGGUGGCGCAGCUCCUUGAAGAUAUGCAUGGAAAGCUAACACUGCUGAAUGUAUCACCAACAAAUUAUUUUGGCGCUGAAGCAGCUGUAAAAAAAGUUAUUGUCCGAGGCCCCGACGACGCAGCCGAGGCUGCAAGUUGCUCUCGGCGUCAGAUUUACCACUUAUGACAGACCUGACGACAGCAAGCAUCAUUCUGCAGCGAUGGUAACUAUGUCCAAGUAGGCAUUCCUAGUUGAGCGGUAUAAUGGUUGUAGCUCUGCGAAGCUUAAGGAAAGCUGUCAUGUUCCGUGUUGCGUAUCUCAGGGUAGCGUAUAUCACCGCUGCCGACCAGUUGUUUCGACGCUUGUUUAUAGAAGCUCGACCGACGUUACUUUUGGGGCACUGAGAUUUUAAAAAAUGCAAAGGAAAGCAAGUUAGCCACAGUCGAAUGCCUACGUUGGGCACCUAAUGUCGCUACCUAAGGAAUGUCGAAGAAAACGUGAGACGCUUUGUUCACAGAGAACCAUACGCAUACUGCUCGGUAUCCUACACCGGCGAGACAAAAUAAUUUCCGGAGAGGUUGCAAUAAGAUAGAAGCGAAGGUGACGCCAUCAAGUGAAGGCGUUGCAAUCCGUCGAGUCCCCACAGUGAUGACAGCGAGCGACCACUGUUUCUUUUUCUCGUCUGCUAGCCAAAAAGCGCCCAAACUCUGCCAGGCCAUAAUCCGCUCCGCCAGAGAAAAACGAACACGAACCAUAGCGCGCCGCGGGGCGGUGCGGGCAACACGAGAAAAACGCUUGCGCUCUGGCUGGCUCUGGCAACCCGCGGGUAGCAAAACAAUAAAAUUGA